GAUGAACGCUGGCGGCGUGCCUAAUACAUGCAAGUCGAGCGAACGGACGAGAAGCUUGCUUCUCUGAUGUUAGCGGCGGACGGGUGAGUAACACGUGGAUAACCUACCUAUAAGACUGGGAUAACUUCGGGAAACCGGAGCUAAUACCGGAUAAUAUUUUGAACCGCAUGGUUCAAAAGUGAAAGACGGUCUUGCUGUCACUUAUAGAUGGAUCCGCGCUGCAUUAGCCAGUUGGUAAGGUAACGGCUUACCAAGGCAACGAUGCAUAGCCGACCUGAGAGGGUGAUCGGCCACACUGGAACUGAGACACGGUCCAGACUCCUACGGGAGGCAGCAGUAGGGAAUCUUCCGCAAUGGGCGAAAGCCUGACGGAGCAACGCCGCGUGAGUGAUGAAGGUCUUCGGAUCGUAAAACUCUGUUAUUAGGGAAGAACAUAUGUGUAAGUAACUGUGCACACCUUGACGGUACCUAAUCAGAAAGCCACGGCUAACUACGUGCCAGCAGCCGCGGUAAUACGUAGGUGGCAAGCGUUAUCCGGAAUUAUUGGGCGUAAAGCGCGCGUAGGCGGUUUUUUAAGUCUGAUGUGAAAGCCCACGGCUCAACCGUGGAGGGUCAUUGGAAACUGGAAAACUUGAGUGCAGAAGAGGAAAGUGGAAUUCCAUGUGUAGCGGUGAAAUGCGCAGAGAUAUGGAGGAACACCAGUGGCGAAGGCGACUUUCUGGUCUGUAACUGACGCUGAUGUGCGAAAGCGUGGGGAUCAAACAGGAUUAGAUACCCUGGUAGUCCACGCCGUAAACGAUGAGUGCUAAGUGUUAGGGGGUUUCCGCCCCUUAGUGCUGCAGCUAACGCAUUAAGCACUCCGCCUGGGGAGUACGACCGCAAGGUUGAAACUCAAAGGAAUUGACGGGGACCCGCACAAGCGGUGGAGCAUGUGGUUUAAUUCGAAGCGACGCGAAGAACCUUACCAAAUCUUGACAUCCUUUGACAACUCUAGAGAUAGAGCCUUCCCCUUCGGGGGACAAAGUGACAGGUGGUGCAUGGUUGUCGUCAGCUCGUGUCGUGAGAUGUUGGGUUAAGUCCCGCAACGAGCGCAACCCUUAAGCUUAGUUGCCAUCAUUAAGUUGGGCACUCUAAGUUGACUGCCGGUGACAAACCGGAGGAAGGUGGGGAUGACGUCAAAUCAUCAUGCCCCUUAUGAUUUGGGCUACACACGUGCUACAAUGGACAAUACAAAGGGCAGCGAAACCGCGAGGUCAAGCAAAUCCCAUAAAGUUGUUCUCAGUUCGGAUUGUAGUCUGCAACUCGACUACAUGAAGCUGGAAUCGCUAGUAAUCGUAGAUCAGCAUGCUACGGUGAAUACGUUCCCGGGUCU
rnacentral:rRNA from 1 species